GAGUAAAAUGAGGUGCAGUGAGAGCAGGUGGACCAGUAGAACGGGCCAGCAGAGUAAAAUGAGGUGCAGUGAGAGCAGGUGGACCAGUAGAACGGGCCAGCAGAGUAAAAUGAGGUGCAGUGAGAGCAGGUGGACCAGUAGAACGGGCCAGCAGAGUAAAAUGAGGUGCAGUGAGAGCAGGUGGACCAGUAGAACGGGCCAGCAGAGUAAAAUGAGGUGCAGUGAGAGCAGGUGGACCAGUAGAACGGGCCAGCAGAGUAAAAUGAGGUGCAGUGAGAGCAGGUGGACCAGUAGAACGGGCCAGCAGGGUAAAAUGACUUGGAUACACAGAGCAGGUGGACCAGUAGAACGGGCCAGCAGGGUAAAAUGACUUGGAUACACAGAGGGGGUGGACCAGUAGAACGGGCCAGCAGAGUAAAAUGAGGUGCAGUGAGAGCAGGUGGACCAGUAGAACGGGCCAGCAGGGUAAAAUGAGGUGCAGUGAGAGCAGGUGGACCAGUAGAACGGGCCAGCAGAGUAAAAUGAGGUGCAGUGAGAGCAGGUGGACCAGUAGAACGGGCCAGCAGGGUAAAAUGAGGUGCAGUGAGAGCAGGUGGACCAGUAGAACGGGCCAGCAGAGUAAAAUGAGGUGCAGUGAGAGCAGGUGGACCAGUAGAACGGGCCAGCAGAGUAAAAUGAGGUGCAGUGAGAGCAGGUGGACCAGUAGAACGGGCCAGC